GUGCCGGUAGUGCAACGGGUUGGAGCACGCGUCUCCGGACAAAGUGAGGUGCGGGUUCGAGUCCUGCCCAGUGUA